rnacentral:rRNA from 1 species
GACGAACGCUGGCGGCGUGCUUAACACAUGCAAGUCGAACGGAAAGGCCCUGCUUUUGUGGGGUGCUCGAGUGGCGAACGGGUGAGUAACACGUGAGUAACCUGCCCUUGACUUUGGGAUAACUUCAGGAAACUGGGGCUAAUACCGGAUAGGUGCUCCUGCUGCAUGGUGGGGGUUGGAAAGUUUCGGCGGUUGGGGAUGGACUCGCGGCUUAUCAGCUUGUUGGUGGGGUAGUGGCUUACCAAGGCUUUGACGGGUAGCCGGCCUGAGAGGGUGACCGGCCACAUUGGGACUGAGAUACGGCCCAGACUCCUACGGGAGGCAGAAGUGGGGAAUAUUGCACAAUGGGCGGAAGCCUGAUGCAGCAACGCCGCGUGCGGGAUGACGGCCUUCGGGUUGUAAACCGCUUUCGCCUGUGACGAAGCGUGAGUGACGGUAAUGGGUAAAGAAGCACCGGCUAACUACGUG